UGAAGCCUUGAGCUCCUGGUCCCAAGAGAUCCUCUUGCCUCAGCACCGAGAACUGGAAAAAAAUCUCUGAUUGUCCUGCAGCAAUGGCAUUAAAGGCUCCUCAUAACAUACAGAACCAGAAUUGUGCCAUAAUUUACUGAAAUUGAACAUUGCUCUGUGACUGCUAAUUUUCCAUCGAGAUGAUUCUGUCUCUAACCAAGAAAAGAAAAGUUUGUCUUCCUGACUGCUGACACUGCUGACCAAGCCCACCACCAGAUGCCUGGCUGCACACCCAGAGGGCAGCCGCUUCCCGUGGUCCUCUCGAAGAACUUCCCUUUUGCAAUGCAUGUUUAGCAAGUGGAUGAGUUUGUCUUUUCUGAUUUCUCUGCAAGCUCUGCAUUGCCCACCUGAACCAGUGCUUCAGAAGAACUAAUGGGAUCUCUGACCCUCCAACAUCCUCUUCCAGACUUUCACUUUCCUGGCUCCUUGCAGGGACAUGUAAUAAACGUGCUCUCCAGA
rnacentral:lncRNA from 10 species